CCCAUCAGAACUCCGCAGUUAAGCGUGCUUGGGCGAGAGUAGUACUAAGUUGGGUGACCACUUGGGAAGUCCUCGUGUUGCACCCC
rnacentral:rRNA from 1 species